UGCAAGUCGAGCGGACAGAUGGGAGCUUGCUCCCUGAUGUUAGCGGCGGACGGGUGAGUAACACGUGGGUAACCUGCCUGUAAGACUGGGAUAACUCCGGGAAACCGGGGCUAAUACCGGAUGGUUGUUUGAACCGCAUGGUUCAAACAUAAAAGGUGGCUUCGGCUACCACUUACAGAUGGACCCGCGGCGCAUUAGCUAGUUGGUGAGGUAACGGCUCACCAAGGCAACGAUGCGUAGCCGACCUGAGAGGGUGAUCGGCCACACUGGGACUGAGACACGGCCCAGACUCCUACGGGAGGCAGCAGUAGGGAAUCUUCCGCAAUGGACGAAAGUCUGACGGAGCAACGCCGCGUGAGUGAUGAAGGUUUUCGGAUCGUAAAGCUCUGUUGUUAGGGAAGAACAAGUACCGUUCGAAUAGGGCGGUACCUUGACGGUACCUAACCAGAAAGCCACGGCUAACUACGUGCCAGCAGCCGCGGUAAUACGUAGGUGGCAAGCGUUGUCCGGAAUUAUUGGGCGUAAAGGGCUCGCAGGCGGUUUCUUAAGUCUGAUGUGAAAGCCCCCGGCUCAACCGGGGAGGGUCAUUGGAAACUGGGGAACUUGAGUGCAGAAGAGGAGAGUGGAAUUCCACGUGUAGCGGUGAAAUGCGUAGAGAUGUGGAGGAACACCAGUGGCGAAAGCGACUCUCUGGUCUGUAACUGACGCUGAGGAGCGAAAGCGUGGGGAGACGAACAG
rnacentral:rRNA from 1 species